UAGCGACGCAGCUGCGCCAGCGGCAGCCCCAGGGCCUCGUCGGCGAACAGCACCCUCCGCGGGGCCACCGCCACCUCGACCGAGCCAGGACAUCAGGCCCACUCUGGGUGUUUCCAGAAGGACCUGAAACCAGUCUUGCAGAGGGUCGGAGUGGACGUUGGAUGACUAGGACCCUGGGCCACGCAGAGCGCUGGGGAACCGGGGGCUGGAAGUCUCGGCCAUGGCCGGUCAGGAGAAGCCCCUGGGGGCUGGUCUCUGAUGUUGACCAGUGGUUGAAGGGAGUGCCUGCUGAGGUGAGGAGAUGCAGCCGCCAAUUCUUGGACAACCUGAAAUCCUCCCAAGCUUCAAGCCUCCAGAGGAAUCUCCAAAUCCCAGAACCUCCCUGUCACCACAUCCUAGAAUUUAAAACCUGAGACAUUGGGUUUGGGGAAACCUGAGGGUUUCAAAGCCCAGCACCAAGGAAGGCAGGACCCCCCACUCGCCAGCUCUGUGAUCUUGGGCAAGCUGCUGGACUACUCUGUGCCUCCGUUUCCUCCAUCUGUAUAACGGCAAUACAGUAAUGACAAGAUGGAACUCAGAGA